GAUACAUUAGCUCAGUUGGAAGAGCAAUAGAUUUUUAAUCUAUGGGUCAUGGGUUCGAGUCCCAUAUGUAUCA
rnacentral:tRNA from 2 species